rnacentral:rRNA from 1 species
UACGGAGGGUGCGAGCGUUGUCCGGAAUCACUGGGCGUAAAGGGCGCGUAGGUGGCCCGUUAAGUGGCUGGUGAAAUCCCGCGGCUCAACUGCGGGGCUGCCGGUCAGACUGGCGAGCUAGAGCACGGUAGGGGCAGAUGGAAUUCCCGGUGUAGCGGUGGAAUGCGUAGAGAUCGGGAAGAAUACCAGUGGCGAAGGCGUUCUGCUGGGCCGUUGCUGACACUGAGACGCGAAAGCGUGGGGAGCAAACAGG